UCAGGAUGAACGCUGGCGGCGUGCUUAACACAUGCAAGUCGAACGAUGAACCUCACUUGUGGGGGGAUUAGUGGCGAACGGGUGAGUAACACGUGAGUAACCUGCCCUUGACUCUGGGAUAAGCCUGGGAAACUGGGUCUAAUACCGGAUAUGACCUUCCAUCGCAUGGUGGUUGGUGGAAAGCUUUUGUGGUUUUGGAUGGACUCGCGGCCUAUCAGCUUGUUGGUGGGGUAAUGGCCUACCAAGGCGACGACGGGUAGCCGGCCUGAGAGGGUGACCGGCCACACUGGGACUGAGACACGGCCCAGACUCCUACGGGAGGCAGCAGUGGGGAAUAUUGCACAAUGGGCGCAAGCCUGAUGCAGCGACGCCGCGUGAGGGAUGACGGCCUUCGGGUUGUAAACCNCUUUCAGUAGGGAAGAAGCGAGAGUGACGGUACCUGCAGAGAGCC
rnacentral:rRNA from 1 species